GACAAUGGGCGAAAGCCUGAUCCAACGACGCUCGCGUGGAGGACGAAGCCCUUCGGGGUGUAAACUCCUUUUGUCGGGGAAAAAGGGCUGAUGGUACCCGACGAAUAAGCCCCGGCUAACUACGUGCCAGCAGCCGCGGUAAUACGUAGGGGGCGAGCGUUACCCGGAAUCACUGGGCGUAAAGGGUGCGUAGGCGGCCGCGUGUGUCUGGCGUAAAAUUCCACGGCUCAACCGUGGGUAUGCGCUGGAAACUACNUGGCUUGGGUGCGGCAGAGGCAGACGGAANUGCUGGUGUAGGGGUGAAAUCCGUAGAUAUCAGCAGGAACGCCGGUGGAGAAGUCGGUCUGCUGGGCCGUAACCGACGCUGAGGCACGAAAGCUAGGGGAGCGAACCGGAUUAGAUACCCGGGUAGUCCUAGCCGUAAACGAUGCUCACUAGGUGUGGGGGCGGAANCCUCCGUGCUGAAGCAAACGCGAUAAGUGA
rnacentral:rRNA from 1 species